rnacentral:rRNA from 1 species
AUUGAACGCUGGCGGCAGGCUUAACACACGCAAGUUGAGCGGGGGAAGGUAGCUUGCUACCGGACCUAGCGGCGGACGGGUGAGUAAUGCUUAGGAAUCUGCCUAUUAGUGGGGGACAACAUCUCGAAAGGGAUGCUAAUACCGCAUACGUUCUACGGGAAAAAGCGGGGGAUCUUCGGACCUUGCGCUAAUAGAUGAGCCUAAGUCGGAUUAGCUAGUUGGUGGGGUAAAGGCCUACCAAGGCGACGAUCUGUAGCGGGUCUGAGAGGAUGAUCCGCCACACUGGGACUGGGGCACGGCCCAGACUCCUACGGGAGGCAGCAGUGGGGAAUAUUGGACAAAGGGGGGAACCCUGAUCCAGCCAUGCCGCGUGUGUGAAGAAGGCCUUAUGGUUGUAAAGCACUUUAAGCGAGGAGGAGGCUACUCUAGUUAAUACCUAGGGAUAGUGGACGUUACUCGCAGAAUAAGCACCGGCUAACUCUGUGCCAGCCGCCGCGGUAA